CUUCCGCAUCCGAGGUGUGCCCUUCUCCCGCUUGCAUCUGCGGGUCAGGAAAACCAAAAGGGAGGCGCCCUCCAUUAGGAAACAUUCCAAAGGGAGAAAAGCUGCAAAUUUGUCGGCUGGCUUUGUUGUAACCCACUUCCACUUAACUGGUUUUGAUUUCUUUUGGUUUGCAAGUUCUAGGCUUUAGUGGGGAGGGGAGCACCACCGUCAUCGCAGGUGACCUGAAUCUUUCCGUUAACGACCGUUUUCUCAGAUGGAAUCGUGUGAUCAGAAGGCAAAAUUCUAGUGGUAGGCGACCUUAAACCUGCAUUCAUAUUCUUCUGUAUGCCUCCGUCCCACGCACACUGGUUUUUAGCAUAGUCUGUUCCUGCUUUUCCUUUGUUCGUUGUACUCCCUUAACUUGCUGCCUUCUUUUUCUUGGUACACAUCUGAAUAAUUGUAAACCUUACCUUUGUAGUGAAGUUCACCCUUGGUGCCCUGUCCCACGGAACCUGGCUUUGAAUCCCAAUCUCUGUGAAACAGGUUACUCAGUAUUGUUAAAGCCUUGUAAAUAAGUGACUCAGAGCAGCCCAGGAUAUGGUGACCCAGGUGUCAACCAGGUUAUUUUUAUACUUAAAACAUAAUAGCAGAGAACAGACAGAAUAAACGGUUUCAAUACCCCACAACAAGUGGAAUAACUGACAAGCCACCAAAAAUUAGAAUCCCAGACCCACCAGAAAGACAAUGUCUAGUAAUGCCUUGGUAUGUGAUUUUUUUUUCAUACAGAGAGCUGUCGUAGGUGUUGAGAAAAGAAAACAAAAAGACAAUAGAAGUCCAUUGUCUCUUGAUAACUAUUUCUUAAAAGCAAAUGAAAUCAGACUAUCUAGGUUGUUCUUGCCCCUGAGACCUCUAAUGCCAGCUGCAAGCCCAAGCUACCAUCCUUUGUUUCAGUUAGCAGUGUUCCGGACUUCAAAAGAUCCCUGAAUCCACUCCCAAGCUAAACAGUCAUCGCUGCUCUUGGCCAGGAGAGAUUUCUCUUGGCUGUUACAGUUUUUCAAACUUUUCCUGUUUGUGAUGAGCCUGAAAGUUUUGAAGACCACUGGUCAAGUACUUUGUACAAUGUCCCUUUAGGAUUUUCCUGAUGUUUUUCUCAUAAUUACAUAAGAGCAUAUUGUAUGUUUGGGGGACACCAAAAGACCAUAGAGGUGGAAUGAAAUCAUGGUCACUUCCUGCCAAGGGAUAUUUGUGUUUUGUUCUCUGCUUAUUGCCGAGUAGUAGUCCAGGACGUAGAUAUACCAGUUUUUGUUCAGCUACUGAGCCACUGAUGGACCUUUGAGAUUUGAGAUUGGCAGAGGAGCUGGGCCAGUGAGGUAGCAUCCUGUGGAGAAGAAAGAGCCACCAGAUCAACCUUCAG